ensembl:rRNA 5S_rRNA 5S ribosomal RNA
GCUUACGGCCAUACCACCCUGAGAACGCCCGAUCUCGUCUGAUCUCGCAAGCUACGCAGGGUCGGGCCUGGUUAGUACUUGGAUGGGAGACCGCCUGGGAAUACCAGGUGCUGUAAGCU